UCUCCGUUGGUGAACCAGCGGAGGGAUCAUUACAGGACUCGCAAGACUCCUACAACCCUGUGAACUUAACUAUAAGCACGUUGCUUCGGCGGGUGUCUCGGAGGGGGUUCUCCCUCCCCGAGACGCUAAACCCGCCGGCAGCCUACUAUACUCUGUCUCUUUGCGUUGGCAUCUCGAGUACAAUCAAACAAGUUAAAACUUUCGACAACGGAUCUCUUGGUUCUG
rnacentral:misc_RNA from 1 species